rnacentral:rRNA from 1 species
AGAAUCAACGCUGGCGGCGUGCCUAACACAUGCAAGUCGAACGAGAAAGUGGAGCAAUCCAUGAGUAAAGUGGCGACCGGGUGAGUAACACGUGACUACCUACCCUUGAGUGGGGGAUAACCUCGGGAAACCGAGGCUAAUACCGCAUAACAUCGAAAGAUCAAAGGAGUAAUCCGCUUUUGGAGGGGUCGCGGCUGAUUAGCUAGUUGGUAGGGUAAUGGCCUACCAAGGCGAAGAUCGGUAUCCGGCCUGAGAGGGCGCACGGACACACUGGAACUGAAACACGGUCCAGACUCCUACGGGAGGCAGCAGUGGGGAAUUUUGCGCAAUGGGGGAAACCCUGACGCAGCAACGCCGCGUGGAGGAUGAAGCCCCUUGGGGUGUAAACUCCUUUCGACCGGGAAAAUAUGAUGGUACCGGUGGAAGAAGCACCGGCUAACUCUGCGCCAGCAGCCGC